GACGAACGCUGGCGGCGUGCUUAAUACAUGCAAGUCGAACGGACAGGCCACUUUGGUGGUACUCGAGUGGUGGCCGGGUGCGUAACACGUGAGUAACCUGCACUUGACUUCGAGAUAACUUCAGGAUACUGGAGCUAAUACCGAAUCGGAAUAAUAUCUGCAUGGUGGGGGUUGGAAAGCUUCGGCCGGUUUGGCUGGACUCGCGGGUUAUCUGCUUGUUGGUGGGGUAGUGGCUUACCAAGGCGUUGUCGGGAAGCCAGACUGAGUGGGCGACCGGCCACAUUGGCACUGAGGGGCGGCCCAGGUUGCGACGGGAGGCAGCAGUGGGGAAUACUGCACGAUGGGCGGAAGGCGGAUGCAGCAGCGCCGCGUGCGGGAUGACUGCCUUCGGGGUGAAAACCGAAUGCAUCAGGGGCGAAGCAUGUGGUGACGGUACCUGCAGAGGAAGCAACGGCUAACUACGUG
rnacentral:rRNA from 1 species